rnacentral:rRNA from 1 species
UGGGAAUUUUGGACAAUGGGCAAAAGCCUGAUCCAGCCACGCCGCGUGAGUGACGAAGGUCUUCGGAUCGUAAAGCUCUUUUAGUGGGGAAGAAGGGAAACUUGACGGUACCCACAGAAAAAGCACCGGCUAACUCCGUGCCAGCAGCCGCGGUAAUACGGAGGGUGCAAGCGUUGCUCGGAAUCAUUGGGCGUAAAGCGCGUGUAGGCGGCUUUGCAAGUCUGGUGUGAAAUCCCGGGGCCUAACCCCGGAAGUGCAUUGGAUACUGCUUAGCUAGAGGUCGAGAGAGGAUAGUGGAAUUCCUGGUGUAGGGGUGAAAUCCGUAGAUAUCAGGAGGAACAUCAGUAGCGAAGGCGGCUAUCUGGCUCGAGUCUGACGCUGAGACGCGAAAGCGUGGGGAGCAAAC